ensembl:lncRNA
ACGGAGGGGGUCAGUCGUUGGGAUGCGCAUGCGCAGACAGAGUGUGCGAGCGGCGGGCCUUGACCUUUUGGGGGAAAAAAACUCACGGACGGUGACAGCGAAACGGAUAACAGUCUUCAGUACCUGCUGGACUUUGAAGCUGUGGAUUCUGGGACUGUUAGAAAAGCUCCAACAAAAUGAGGAAGAGGAGAAACACAAUUAGGUUGAAUUACAAUUGGAUGGAAGGCGAGGACAAGGAGAAGGAAGCUUAGGAUGAGGAGGAAGAGAAGCAGCAGGAGCAUCUUUAGGGAUCCCUAUGAUGUCAUUGAGAGGCGGCGGCGAGAGGGGAGACCUCUGCUCAUCCAGCUGGAGAGCCUGACCAGGAGGAGUCGAACAUUAACUCAGCUCUUUCAGGGCACCCUGCAGACUCGGCUGUUGGCAUCGACGAGGGAUGACGUGAACGCCAAACUGGAGUCCAUCACAGGUCAACUGCAGCUCCUUGUCUCAGAGUGGGAGGGGUUUGAAGCACAAAGGGAGGAACUUGUCGUUUGGUUGGCUGAUAUGGAUGUGAGGUUGACCAGCUGACAGGAAACACCAGUGAAAAACUGAAACAACUGCAGGUGUGGGCUUGUUUUGAUAUGACAUAUAUUUGAUAUGAUACAUACAUCAGAGACAUUGUCCUAAACUGGACUAACAAAGGACAAUGAGUACAACAUGAAACGUCCAUUACAUAGCGUAAGGCUGUAGUUCAUUGAUCAUUUUAAUCAUAAACUUGUUGAAAUGUUUUUACUGAACAUGCAAACAUCUGCUGAUGAAAAUGUGUUGAUUUAUUGGUCUGUUAUGAAGCUAUUUGUAACCCAGUUCCUAAAAUCAUCUCAAACAGAAAGAGAAGAAAAAUUAAAACAUUUAAUGUUCAUUGUUCUGUUCUUACUGUCCCGGUUAAUGAAAGUGAAAUGAGAUCAAAAUAAUUAUUUAAACAUAGAAGGGAUGCAGAUUAUAUAUGAUAUGCUCUGGUCAAACAAGGGUUAAGUUUCUCAGAGGGUUGAUGAGCUCUGAUGAGAGCCUAUUGUUUUACUCCACUCCUCACAUGUCAGCCAAUCGGUGAAGCUCUAGGCAGCUCUUGUCCCUCCUUAGUACCAGCUCCCAAGUUUUCAGUCUCUUGCUUCUACAGCCGAACAGAGCAGACGGACUAAAACUUUUGUUAUCGGUAAGCUGGAGAAAUUAACCUCUAACGAGUUAAAAGAAAUACCAUCUAAACUGAUAUUUUUCACAAAUUAUGUAUUUGCACUUGUUGUUGUCAAGGGCAGAGCGAAACCGGAGGGUUUACUGAGCUGUGGCUCCAUGUAAAUGCUGAGCAUCCACUCGACGGCGGUCAGGUUUUUAUAUGGGACGAAUCCAAAGACCAGGUCAGCGAUUCCAGAACCCAGAGUGUUCCAGUGUUCACUGGAUGGCGAGCCAACCCAAGAUCCUAGGAGGCGAUAUACAUAUACACGCACGAUCAUUUGCACAUUGAUGGACUACAAUCCUCUACUGUACAAGUAGUACGGUAGGACAGACAAUCACACACACACACUCCUUGUCAGACGAAUUCUAUGGGCCCCACCGGUACCAUUUGGACUUAAAAAAGACUAAUUCUUUUACUUGUGCACAAUUUUAUUUAAUUCUAUUUUUUUUUUGCUACUUUGGGGGAAAUUUUUAUACUUGACAUUCUGUUAAAACCUGUUGUAAUACUGUGUUGUUUACAAAUUUCUUUUACAAGGCUUAACAUCACUAAAGUACUUUUAAAGCCACAUAACUGUGUUUGUCUGGUUUCUCUGCCAUUCGUGUACCAGAGCUCUAAGAGUCGUUCUCAGUCUUCUGACACUAGCCCAAAUUGCUUAUUACUUUGGUAAUUAUCCAUUGGUACUUUAUGUAACUCCACGUAAGUGCUACAUAUUGCUAUUUCUAAUGUGUUUUAUCACUUUCUGAUGUUUUAUUAAUUAAA